GAGAUUCCACACUGCCAUUUGGGAUGAGCUCAUAAAGUAAACAGCGACUGCGCUCCUCAAGACAUAUACCUAUCAACUUGACCAAGUUCCUAUGAUGGAGGCGGCUAAGCAUCUCUACUUCAGCCAAAAAUUCACGACCACCCUGUUGGUCAUCUCUCUUGAGGACUUUCACUGCCACUUUCACCCCAUCAUCAAGCACACCACUAUAAACACGACCAAAUCCCCCUUCACCUAGUACUCUUGCUUCAUUGAAGCUGUCAGUUGCUCUAUCAAUUUCCUUUGAAGAAAAUGUUCUAGCUGAACCAGUAUAAGCAGCAAAGCUUGAACUAAAGGAUAAUGUAGGAGAGUUCAGCCUACUCCCAAUCAUGGAGGCUGCAAUCCCUGAUGACUUUGCAAGGGAUGGUAAUGUAGUUGGUGGAGUUGGUUCUAACUGAUAUCCG
rnacentral:misc_RNA from 1 species